AGCGUCAGCACGCUCAGCUCAUCACUGGAGUAACGUCUGUACAACGGGUGAGAUAAAACUCAACGCCUGACUGAAUCAUCCAUUCCCUUUUCGAUCCUACGCCAUACGUUAAACUUGAGCACACCCCACCCUUACAUGGCACACAAGUAUAUGACACACAACACAGGUCUUCUCAGGAGGCUGUGCCUACAGAGAGCAGCAGUUGCAGACUUCACCCCAGACCCAACACAUUUUGGGCUCCCACUUUCAACUAUUGAGGAGCUACAAUGUUUGUAGGAGACAUUAAAUAAUCCAGAUGAGAAGAAGAAUUUGGUGAGACUGUUUUUCCUGGAAUGGUCGGAGACAAGACUCUUAAAGACACCGUGGGGUGGGUCCUGAAAAAAACAAUAAACUCUUCGUGGCGAGACUCAUCAAUUGAAGUGGGGUCAACUGAAGCCUGCAUUCAAAGGGCUCACUUUGAAAAGUGUGGUUUUGGAUGCAGUCCGCCGGAAUGCCCUGACCAAAGAUAACACAGAAAAGGAGAUAGAGCUCCUCAUCACCAGGUGGUCGGUGCUAGCAUAUGACAGGGAUGGUGGCCGAAUCCAGACAAUAGACAGACAAUGAAUUAAAAUGUUUUAAAUUUAAAAAUGUUGAUUUUUGGAAAAUUCGUAUUUGAACUGAUUGUGUGUGUGUGUGUGUGUGUGUGUGUGUGUGCACCUGGUAAUUAUCACGUUGUGUCCCCACAAAGAUAGGAAUACUAGUAUUUUUGUGACCUUGUGUCCCCAUGAGGAAACAAGCUUAUAAAUCAAACAAAAUGAUGUUUCUUGUAAAUGUGAAGUAGGAGAAGGGUUUCUGUGAUGGUUGGGUUUAGGGAAUGGGGUAGGUAAGGGGAAUAAAAUAUACAGUUUGUAUGGUAUAAAAUGCAUUACGUCUAUGGAAUGUCCCCACAAAACAUGGAAACCUGUUUGUGUGUACGAGAGAGAGAGAAUGUGUGUUCAAGUGAAUAAAAAAUGCAUUAAACGUGAAA